rnacentral:rRNA from 1 species
AAAAUGGAUGGCGCUUAAGUUGUAUACCUAUACAUUACCGCUAAAGUAGAUGAUUUAUAUUACUUGUGAUAUAAAUUUUGAAACUUUAGUGAGUAGGAAGGUACAAUGGUAUGCGUAGAAGUGUUGGCGUAAGCCUGCAUGGAGCUGCUUGGUAGAUCUUGGUGGUAGUAGCAAAAUAUCGAAUGAGACCUUGGAGGACUGAAGUGGAGAAGGGUUUUCGUGUGAACAGUGGUUGAUCACGAGUUAGUCGGUCCUAAGUUCAAGGCGAAAGCCGAAAAUUUUCAAGUAAAACAAAAAGCCUAACUAUAUAAACAAAGCGAAUUAUAAUACACUUGAAUAAUUUUGAACGAAAGGGAAUACGGUUCCAAUUCCGUAACCUGUUGAGUAUCCGUUUGUUAUUAAAUAUGGGCCUCGUGCUCAUCCUGGCAACAGGAACGACAUAAAGAAGCCGUCGAGAGAUAUCGGAAGAGUUUUCUUUUCUGUUUUAUAGCCGUACUACCAUGGAAGUCUUUCGCAGAGAGAUAUGGUAGAUGGGCUAGAAGAGCAUGACAUAUACUGUUGUGUCGAUAUUUUCUCCUCGACCUUGAAAAUUUAUGGUGGGGACACGCAAACUUCUCAACAGGCCGUACCAAUAUCCGCAGCUGGUCUCCAAGGUGAAGAGUCUCUAGUCGAUAGAAUAAUGUAGGUAAGGGAAGUCGGCAAAUUAGAUCCGUAACUUCGGGAUAAGGAUUGGCUCUGAAGAUUGAGAUAGUCGGGCUUGAUUGGGAAACAAUAACAUGGUUUAUGUGCUCGUUCUGGGUAAAUAGAGUUUCUAGCAUUUAUGUUAGUUACUUGUUCCCCGGAUAGUUUAGUUACGUAGCCAAUUGUGGAACUUUCUUGCUAAAAUUUUUAAGAAUACUAUUUGGGUUAAACCAAUUAGUUCUUAUUAAUUAUAACGAUUAUCAAUUAACAAUCAAUUCAGAACUGGCACGGACUUGGGGAAUCCGACUGUCUAAUUAAAACAAAGCAUUGUGAUGGCCCUAGCGGGUGUUGACACAAUGUGAUUUCUGCCCAGUGCUCUGAAUGUCAAAGUGAAGAAAUUCAAGUAAGCGCGGGUCAACGGCGGGAAGUAAACUAAUGAGGCCAAAUGCCUCGUCAUCUAAUUAGUGACGCGCAUGAAUGGAUUAACGAGAUUCCUACUGUCCCUAUCUACUAUCUAGCGAAACCACAGCCAAGGAACGGGCUUGGAAUAAUUAGCGGGGAAAGAAGACCUUUUGAGCUUGACUCUAAUCUGGCAGUGUAAGGAGACAUAAGAGGUGUAGAAUAAGUGGGAGAUAUUAGACCUCGGUUUGGUAUCGUCAAUGAAAUACCACUACUCUUAUUGUUUCCUUACUUACUUGAUUAAAUGGAACGUGUAUCAUUUCCUAGCCAUUAUACGGAUAUAUUUAUUAUAUCUUAUGGUAUUGGGUUUUGAUGCAAGCUUCUUGAUCAAAGUAUCACGAGUUUGUUAUAUAAUCGCAAACAAAUUCUUUAAUAAAACGAUGCAUUUAUGUAUUUUUGAUUUGAAAAUUUGGUAUAACUCCAAUUACUCAGGUAUGAUCCAAUUCAAGGACAUUGCCAGGUAGGGAGUUUGACUGGGGCGGUACAUCUCUCAAAUAAUAACGGAGGUGUCCCAAGGCCAGCUCAGUGCGGACAGAAACCACACAUAGAGCAAAAGGGCAAAUGCUGACUUGAUCUCGGUGUUCAGUACACACAGGGACAGCAAAAGCUCGGCCUAUCGAUCCUUUUGGUUUAAAGAGUUUUUAACAAGAGGUGUCAGAAAAGUUACCAUAGGGAUAACUGGCUUGUGGCGGCCAAGCGUUCAUAGCGACGUCGCUUUUUGAUCCUUCGAUGUCGGCUCUUCCUAUCAUUGUGAAGCAAAAUUCACCAAGCGUUGGAUUGUUCACCCAUGCAAGGGAACGUGAGCUGGGUUUAGACCGUCGUGAGACAGGUUAGUUUUACCCUACUAAUGACAAAACGUUGUUGCGACAGCAUUCCUGCGUAGUACGAGAGGAACCGCAGGUACGGACGCAAUGGCACAAUACUUGUUCGAGCGAACAGUGGUAUGACGCUAGUCCGUUGGAUUAUGCCUGAACGCCUCUAAGGUCGUAUCCGUGCUGGACUGCAAUGAUAAAUAAGGGGCAAUUUGCAUUGU